CACGUAGGAGGCGAGCGUUGUCCGGAAUUAUUGGGCGUAAAGAGCUCGUAGGCGGUUUGUUGCGUCGGCUGUGAAAUCCCGAGGCUCAACCUCGGGUCUGCAGUCGAUACGAGCAAACUAGAGUGUUGCAGGGGAGACUGGAAUUCCUGGUGUAGCGGUGAAAUGCGCAGAUAUCAGGAAGAACACCGGUGGCGAAGGCGGGUCUCUGGGCAACUACUGACGCUGAGGAGCGAAAGCGUGGGGAGCAAACAGG
rnacentral:rRNA from 1 species